rnacentral:rRNA from 1 species
AGAAGUUUUCUUCGGAAAGCGAGUAGAGUGGCGCACGGGUGAGUAACGCGUAGGUAAUCUACCCUUAUGACUGGGAUAACAUUGGGAAACUGGUGCUAAUACCGGAUACACUUCUUUACUGCGGGGUAAAGGAGGAAAGGUGGCCUCUUCAUGAAAGCUACCGUAUAGGGAUGAGCCUGCGUACCAUUAGCUAGUAGGCGGGGUAACGGCCCACCUAGGCAACGAUGGUUAGCGGGUCUGAGAGGAUGAUCCGCCACACUGGAACUGGAACACGGACCAGACUCCUACGGGAGGCAGCAGUGAGGAAUAUUGCGCAAUGGGGGAAACCCUGACGCAGCGACGCCGCGUGAGUGAGGAAGGUUUUCGGAUCGUAAAGCUCUGUCAGAAGGGAAGAAGUGUUAUAUGGUUAACACCCAUAUAAUUUGACGGUACCUUCAGAGGAAGCACCGGCUAACUCCGUGCCAGCAGCCGCGGUAAUACGGAGGGUGCAAGCGUUGUUCGGAAUUACUGGGCGUAAAGGGCGCGUAGGCGGCUGGAUAAGUCAGAUGUGAAAGUCCAUGGCUCAACUGUGGAAGUGCAUUUGAAACUGUCAGGCUUGAGUAUUGGAGGGGAAAGUGGAAUUCCCGGUGUAGAGGUGAAAUUCGUAGAGAUCGGGAGGAACACCUGUGGCGAAGGCGACUUUCUGGACAAAUACUGACGCUGAGGCGCGAAAGCGUGGGGAGCAAACAGGAUUAGAUACCCCAGUAGUCCUAGCCGUAAACAAUGGAUACUAGAUGUUGAACAGAUCGACCUGUGCAGUAU